CAUGCAAGUCGAGCGAGAAGCUAACUUCGGUUAGUGGACAGCGGCGCACGGGUGAGUAACGCGUGGGAAUUUACCUUUCGGCGGGGGACAACAGUUGGAAACGACUGCUAAUACCGCAUACGCCCUACGGGGGAAAGAUUUAUCACCGAAAGAUAGGCCCGCGUUAGAUUAGGUAGUUGGUAGGGUCAAAGCCUACCAAGCCGACGAUCUAUAGCUGGUUUGAGAGAACGAUCAGCCACACUGGAACUGAGACACGGUCCAGACUCCUACGGGAGGCAGCAGUGGGGAACCUUGCACAAUGGGCGAAAGCCUGAUGCAGCCAUGCCGCGUGAGUGCUAAGGCCUUCGGGUUGUAAAACUCUUUUAGAUGUGAAGAUGAUGACGGUAACAUCAGAAAAAGCACCGGCUAACUUCGUGCCAGCAGCCGCGGUAAUACGAAGGGCGCUAGCGUUGUUCGGAAUUACUGGGCGUAAAGAGCGUGUAGGCGGCUUAGCAAGUUAGAGGUGAAAUCCCAGGGCUCAACCCUGGAACUGCCUUUGAUACUGCUAAGCUUGAGAUCGUGAGGGGAUAGCGGAAUACCCAGUGUAGAGGUGAAAUUCGU
rnacentral:rRNA from 1 species